rnacentral:rRNA from 1 species
AUAACACUAUUUUAUCGCAUGGUAGAAUAGUCAAAACUCCGGUGCUCAAGGAUGGACUCGCGUCCGAUUAGAUAGUUGGUGAGGUAACGGCUCACCAAGUCGACGAUCGGUAGCCGGACUGAGAGGUUGAACGGCCACAUUGGGACUGAGACACGGCCCAGACUCCUACGGGAGGCAGCAGUGGGGGAUAUUGCGCAAUGGGGGAAACCCUGACGCAGCAACGCCGCGUGGAUGAAGACGGUUUUCGGAUUGUAAAGUCCUUUUGUUGGGGACGAAUUCUGACGGUACCCAACGAAUAAGCUCCGGCUAACUACGUGCCAGCAGCCGCGGUAAUACGUAGGGAGCAAGCGUUAUCCGGAUUUACUGGGUGUAAAGGGUGCGUAGGCGGCCCUGCAAGUCAGAUGUGAAAUUUAGAGGCUCAACCUCUAAACUGCAUUUGAAACUGUGGGGCUUGAGUGAAGUAGAGGCAGGCGGAAUUCCCUGUGUAGCGGUGAAAUGCGUAGAGAUAGGGAGGAACACCAGUGGCGAAGGCGGCCUGCUGGGCUUUAACUGACGCUGAGGCACGAAAGCGUGGGUAGCA